rnacentral:rRNA from 1 species
GAUGAACGCUAGCGGCAGGCUUAACACAUGCAAGUCGAGGGGCAGCGGGGAGGAAGCUUGCUUUCUCCGCCGGCGACCGGCGCACGGGUGAGUAACACGUAUGCAACCUGCCCCUGUCAGGGGGACAACCCGCCGAAAGGCGGGCUAAACCCGCGUACAUGCCACCGGGGCAUCCCGGAGGCAGGAAAGGCUUCGGCCGGACAGGGAUGGGCAUGCGGCGCAUUAGGCAGUAGGCGGGGUAACGGCCCACCUAACCGACGAUGCGUAGGGGUUCUGAGAGGAAGGUCCCCCACACUGGUACUGAGACACGGACCAGACUCCUACGGGAGGCAGCAGUGAGGAAUAUUGGUCAAUGGUCGGGAGACUGAACCAGCCAAGCCGCGUGAGGGAGGAAGGUACAGAGUAUCGUAAACCUCUUUUGUCAGGGAACAAAGGCGGGGACGUGUCCCCGGAUGAGUGUACCUGAAGAAAAAGCAUCGGCUAACUCCGUGCCAGCAGCCGCGGUAAUACGGAGGAUGCGAGCGUUAUCCCGGAUUUAUUGGGUUUAAAGGGUGCGCAGGCGGUCUGUUAAGUCAGCGGUCAAAGCCCGGGGCUCAACCCCCGGCCCCCCGUUGAAAACUGGCAGUCUCGAGUUGGAGAGAAGUAUGCGGAAUGCGCGGUGUAGCGGUGAAAUGCAUAGAUAUCGCGCAGAACUCCGAUUGCGAAGGCAGCAUGCCGGCUCCACACUGACGCGGAGGCACGAAAGCGUGGGUAUCGAACAGGAUUAGAUACCCUGGUAGUCCACGCAGUAAACGAUGAAUGCUGGCUGUCCGGGGGGACUGACCCCUGGGUGGCGAAGCGAAAGCGAUAAGCAUUCCACCUGGGGAGUACGCCGGCAACGGUGAAACUCAAAGGAAUUGACGGGGGCCCGCACAAGCGGAGGAACAUGUGGUUUAAUUCGAUGAUACGCGAGGAACCUUACCCGGGCUCAAACGGGGAGUGGCGCAGGCAGAGACGCCUGUUUCCCACGGGACACUCCCCGAGGUGCUGCAUGGUUGUCGUCAGCUCGUGCCGUGAGGUGUCGGCUUAAGUGCCAUAACGAGCGCAACCCCCGCGUGCAGUUGCUAACAGUCAACGCUGAGGACUCUGCACGGACUGCCGGCGCAAGCCGCGAGGAAGGCGGGGAUGACGUCAAAUCAGCACGGCCCUUACGUCCGGGGCGACACACGUGUUACAAUGGGUGGUACAGCGGGAAGCCAGGCGGCGACGCCGAGCGGAACCCGAAAUCCACUCUCAGUUCGGAUCGGAGUCUGCAACCCGACUCCGUGAAGCUGGAUUCGAUAGUAAUCGCGCAUCAGCCAUGGCGCGGUGAAUACGU